UGAGAAGGAGCUGUGGCUCAGUGCAGGAAGCAAUGCAGGAGCACCAAAUGUGCAUCAUCUCCGCUGUCUCCUACAAUUUAAAAGGAACUACGGUUUGGCGAGGGUCUAUGAUGUGCCUACAGUUUGUGAGCUCCAGUGCUGUGAAUCUCUGCUUAAAGCACCAUAUGACAUUCACCUGUAAUCCCAGCACUUCGAAAGGCCAAGGCGGGAGGAUCAAUUGAGCAGCCUGGGCAACAUAGGGAGACCUCAUCUCUACAAAAAAUAAAAAUAAAUUAGCCAGGUAUGGUGGUGCAUGCCUGGGGUCCCAGCCACUACUCAGGUGGUUGAGUUGAGAGGAUUGCUUGAGCCAGGGAAUUUGAGGCUGCAGCGAGUGGUGAUCACACCACUGCACUCCAGCCUGGGUGACAGAGUGAGACCCUCUCUCUAAAAAAAAAAAAAAAAAAAUCCACCAUGUUACACUCAUCAUCUCCAUGUGAGCAGUUCCUUCUAUCAGUAGAUUGCUGGUCACAGGCCACAGUGAUCUUUUGUGGCUUUCAUGUAUAUUUCAUCAUGUUUAGUGCAAUCCCAUAAACCUUGAAUAACACGAUGGGACCCAUAUGGAGUGCCACUACUGAUGCUGGAAAUGCUCCCAAGAAGCAGAAAAAAGUCAUGACAUUACAAGAAAAAGUUGCAUUGCUUGAUAUGCACUGUAGAUUGAGGUCUGAGGUCUGCAGCUGUGGUUGCCCCGACUUCAGACAGAUGAUUUGUCGUGUAAACAGACCAUGUAAACUUACAGCGUCAAUAAAUACAUUUCAGUACUGUAAAUGUAUUUUCUUUUCCUUACGAUUUUCUAAAUAACAAUCUCUUUUCUUUAGCUUACUUUGUUG
rnacentral:lncRNA from 1 species